rnacentral:lncRNA from 1 species
UAGUGUGUAACUGUUUUUAACGGUUUCUUGAAAUGCUGCUUUACAUUGGAAAUGUGGGUUUGUGUCUCUUUAAUGAUGUUUGGUUUUGUGGAUAACAUUAUGGUUUUGUUGUCAUGAAUGUGAUUUGAUUUAGUGGGGUUUUGUUGUCAUGAAUGGGAUUUGAUUUAGUGGGGUUUUUAGGCUGUAUUAGAAAAUUUAAUUGGGGAUUUUACAGAACUGAUUCUAGUGAAUUCAAUUCGAAGAAUGGUGAGGACAGUCGCCGGUGUGGCGAGUGCAAUCAUGGUUGUUGCACUGUUACAUGCUGAAUUGAAGA